rnacentral:tRNA from 1 species
GCGUUGCUUGGUGGCCAGAGCGUGUGUCUUCCACUGGGAAGACCCAGGUUCGAUCCCUGGAAUGCA